rnacentral:rRNA from 1 species
GAUGAACGCUGGCGGCGCGCCUAACACAUGCAAAUCGAACGAUUAAAGCACCUUCGGGUGUGUAUAAAGUGGCGAACGGCUGAGUAACACGUGGGCAACCUGCCCCUUUCAUUGGGAUAGCCACGGGAAACCGUGGAUAAUACCGAAUACUUCGAGACUUCCGCAUGGAAGACUCGAGAAAGCUCCGGCGGAGAGGGAUGGGCCCGCGGCCUGUUAGCUUGUUGGUGGGGUAACGGCCUACCAAGGCAAUGACGGGUAGCUGGGUUGAGAGACCGACCAGCCAGAUUGGGACUGAGACACGGCCCAGACUCCUACGGGAGGCAGCAGUGGGGAAUCUUGCACAAUGGGCGAAAGCCUGAUGCAGCGACGCCGCGUGCGGGAUGAAGGCCUUCGGGUUGUAAACCGCUUUCAGCAGGGACGAGGCGAAAGUGACGGUACCUGCAGAAGAAGCCCCGGCUAACUACGUG